ensembl:lncRNA
AGGAAGGAGGUGAAAUGCAUGCUACAAGAGAGAGGCUGCUCAUGUCUGAAAGGAUGACUGAUAAACUACAGUGCUCUUCAGACUUCUUUGUGCAGCAAAAUAUGGGAGAGCAGAGCAAAGGAGUGAAUCCCUUCAUGGAAGAAGCACAACACAGCCAGACCAGCCCUGCUUCACUUUCUGAAUGAUUCAGACAGGAAAAGCAGAAACCUGUGGCUGCAGAGGAGUUUUAUCUUCCAUGGCAGUGGGAAGAGCUGGCACUUCCCAGGCUGGCUGGGGGAAUGGCAGUCUUUUGUCCUGGGCCAUUUCAGCUCCCUGGUCACACAGCUCACAUUUUCCUGGGCUUCCAGGGGCUCUUAGGAAAGGGGUACCCAAUGAGAAGGGGGGCAGCCACCCUGCUGUGCCUCCUAGGAGAAGGGCAAGGGCUGAUUUUGGGAAAGGACAGUCCACGGGGAAGAAAAUGAGGGAGGUGAAGGGAGACUUGCCAAGGAAAGAGUUAAGAGAGGCAGGGAGCAGCUGGGCUGUGUCUGUUUGCUGUAGCUGUGUGGGCUGCAGGGUAGAAAAGAACAACCUCCAGCCUGGAGGAGGCAGAUGAGGGAGUGUCUUCAAGAACGGUGGAUGUGGAUGAGGGAGGCAGGAGGUCUUCUCUCUGCUCCCAGGAGCUGUCACUGCAUGGGAACUCUCUGUGUCCCCAAAAGGUUUGGUGACAAAGCAGUGACGAGCCGGUGGGUUUGGCAACAGCUGCUUGGUGCUUCUGGCUCUUCUUGUGCAGAAGGCUCUGUCUGCUGCUGAGCUGGUCUUGGGCUGCCUCCUGCUGAAGAAGUGACUGGACCCUGGAGGAAGAUAACCACAUUAUCUCCUGACAGGAUGGCACAGGCCACACGUGUGACACAGAUGCUGUCCCCACCCAUGUGAGCUCCCUGUGAUGGAUGCCCACCCCAGAGCCCCAGCUCAGAGCUCUCCCACCACGCUGCCCAAGCUGUAGCACAGGUGUGGAUGACCUCUCAGGGCCAACCCAGCAGGGCUCUGCAGGCUACAGGGUCUCAGAUGCUGGCAGGCACACCUGGACAGCCCACGGUCACUGCCCAGGGCUGGGGCUACCCCUGCUUUGCAGUGCUGGGCUGGGGCUGCUGUGAAAGCCACUGCUGGGCAGAAAGCCACUGCUGGAAAGCCACAGGAGGGGAUUCAGGAGCUGCAGCGCUGGAGUUGAAGGUGGUGAAGUUUUGGCAGAGACAGGAUGGAGCUGGUGUGGCUGUACAUGAUGCUGAUCCACGUGCAGCACGUCGCUGCCGUGACCUGGCUGUCCCUGGUCCAGCAGACUUCCCUGCAGGCAGUCCUCUGGGACCCGAGGGGCUGUGGUGGCCUGACAGGGCUGGAGGAAGAGCAGGUCUGUGUUUGCCAGUAGCAGGAGGAAGCCAUGGAGGCGGUGAAGCCAUGGAGGUGGUGAAGCCAUGGAGGCGGUGAAGCCAUGGAGGUGGUGAAGCCAUGGAGGCGGUGAAGUGAGGUGUGGAUCUGGCUGUCCUUGAGUGCCAGCGCCAGUUUCACUGGAACUGCUUCACCCUGCAGGGGCUGCAGGUCUUUGGCAAGGCCACCAUCCAAGGUCAGCGAGGGCAGGCUUGGCAUGGUGUCCCUCCAGUAUGCCCACUGUCCCCUUGACACAUCGGCCUUUCCUGGGCUAGUGUUGCACCGGACCCAUCCCCAGAGUGGCCAGUGCCUUCUUCCACGUUAGCAUUCCAGAGAAACUUCUUCCCAUUUGGCCAGAUUUGCUUUUUGGACCCAUUGGACCAUCCUGGGUACCAGCUCUGGUAAAUUUACCAGCAGACUGGUAAAUUUCUCCCUGACCCUGCCACCCACCCUGCCCCAGAGCCAUCUCACUUACUGACUCCCAGCCUUGGGAGCAGCUGCACUGGGUGAACUUCCUGACAUAUAUUUCUCCCGAGCAGUCUCCAUCUGUAGGCAUCCUUCCUGCAUGCAGUGACAGCCUCUUUUCCCACACUCUGCCCCAUCAGUGCCUUUGCCCUCUGCAGACUGGU